GGGACAGACAGACCGAGCACCGCGCCGGGGGCAGCGGAGAUUGGCGUGGGAGGAAAAGGGAAUGGCGGCGGGGAAAGGGCGUACCCCGCAGGGCCGCUGUGAGGGCUGUGUGAGGCUCAGCAUGUCCCUGCCAGCAAAGAGGUGUGGAAGGCCCCUAGUGUUGUCUUUUCUGGAAAAGAAAAAGCGAAGUCUUGAUAGAAGAAGGGGAAAACAAGGAUUAAUGUGGGAAAUCACAUUGACCUGUGGCUGACGCUUAAGGAAAAGCUGGAUUUCAGAAAUGAUGCAGAAGUCGUAGGGUUUUUACUAGAUAUGUAUAACAGCUUCAACUUGUUGUCAAAAGCUCUGCUCUGUCCCGUCUGAGGGUGUGGAGGAUCACUGGGAAGGAAGAAAGAGCAUUGUCAGCCAGCACUCCUUGAAUAGCAGCAGAUGGAAUGUUAGUGCUGUCCUCUCCUUACUUGGGAAGGGUGGAUAAAAUAUUUUUCUUAGUACCACUUGAAGGACUGUAGCUGAGGUUUAAAAUAAUAAAAGUUCUAUAUAAAAAGGAAAAUAUACAGCUAAUUUUAGUUCAAUUGAAGAUGCUGAAUAUCUUUUGUUCUUACUUUUGAUUUUAGUAGGUGAAUGAGUUGGGGUUUGGAAAGCAAUUCUAUGGCAGAGAAGAAUCCUUGGAAGCUAGGUCAGGAGUAAAUAAAUACCAGUGCUGAUGAAGCUGAAAAACUCAGGUGCAUUCUUCAAAAUAGCAUUUUUCUAUGGCACUGUCAUUUUAGUUUGGAGUGCAGCACUAACUGAACCUCUGGGACUGAUUUGAUACAGGUGAGACUGAGGGUUUGUGUUUAAUUGAUUGCUUACUUCAGCCUUCUGAGAUGUGAGAAAUAAUGUGAGAAGUGGUUUGGUAGGAAAACAACUUUGUUGCACUAAAAAGUAAGGCAGUGAGGCUUUGGAACAGUCUCAUGAUAUCAGUGUGAAGGUUCUAAAUCGGUCCUAAAUCCCACCAAGUUCACAAAAGGCUGGACAAAUGAUCAGGCAUGUACACAGUGGUAAUGAUACAAGGCUAAGGAGCAACACCUGCCUAAGGAUGGGGAGAGUCAAAAAUAAGAAGAGUUUAAUGAGGCAGGCAUCCUAGGACAUGCUGUGUUAUUCCAGGGGAUAUUUACCUACCAGGAGCAGUUGUAUAACCUCACGUUGAGGAAAAUGGUUUGUGUUUCAGUGUCUGGACCCCACAUCCGUGGUGCCACUGUUGGGUUUGUCUUUGGGUCACAGGAUAGCAGUGAGAUAGAGUGCUGAUGUCACCGAGGUUCUUGCUGCUGUGGGAUGUCCAUACAGGGGUCAAGUCAGCUGCCCUAACUCCUGUUGGGCAUAUUAAAAGUAAGACCAAACUCAGUUGCUAGCUCAUUGUUUUCAGAAAUCUGGGCAAAUGGUUUUCUCCAGAAAGGAGCAGUGCUUCUGUUGAUGUGUAUUUCUUUCUUGUUUUCAAAGGUGUGGCACUGUGCUUCCUAUUGCAGGGAGGCGAUGCAGGUUAGAAGAUUGUCCUGGGGGAGUGCACUUCACUAGGCACAGUGAAACAGCACAGACUUAUUUCAUGUUUAGGUAUUUAAAUGUCAUAUUGGAACUGUUAUUACUGUCUUGCUUUUCAGGGUGAGCAGCAAGAAGAAAAUCAAUUUGCAUAACAAUCCAGGGGCAAUUUUUACUCCAUUUUGAUUUUGCCAGGAGGAUAUUGUGAACUGUGAAGAGUUACUAGAUGAAAUAAGUGGAGUGCUUUCAGGAACUGAAGUUCUACAGAACGCUGUUGGUGGUUCUGAAUGUUUUGUAGUUAUUGUGAGCAAUCCUGGAAAGGUUUUGAGCCGAGCAGCUGAGGUUGGUACAGCAUUCAGGGUAUUCAGUGUAUGGUUGUCAGAAGCACAGAAACUUCCAGUGUUCUGAUUUUAACUUUUUUUUCUUUAACCACACACUUGCAUAAGCUUUCAGGUCUUGAUCUUACAGUGUUCAAGCCAGCUGGGCUUUCCCACCAACUUACACUAGAACAGCCUCUCUGUGGGGAGAAAUUCCCCUAAUUAGAUCAUUGUACUCUGCAUUCAGCUCUUUAAAUGAGCUACUUCACUGGCUGUAAGAAACUGCUGUUGCUCUUAAAUAUUACCUUGAUGCUUUUGAAGUACCUGCAUUCAAUGUUGCUUUAUGAACAUUUGAUUUUACUCAAAAUGUUGUACAGAUAGAUUAAAAAAAAAAGAUUGAGAAGUUGAGAAGACAGUUUUUUGAUACUUUUUCAGAAUGAAAAUGCCACUUCCUCUGUAUUUGUGUUCUCUCUUUGCUCUGUACCUUUCAGAUUUUAUUUUGACCAAACAAUGACUCGUGUAAAUAACUCAGUUUGGCUGAUGAAGAAGUGUGGCUGGUGACACUUAUGCUCAGUGAAGGGUCUUCCAGUGCUCUCAGAUUUUCAGUUGUUGGUGUCAUUACAGAGAGAAGGGAACAGGACUCAGCCUUCCAUUACAUUUUCCUCCAAAGUCUUCAAGAUCAGAAGAAUCCCCAACUGCUUAUUCUCAGCCAGUUCAACCUCAUUCUUGUGCCUUUUAAAAUUCACACUGCAAAUAUUUCUAUUAUUUAACAACUUACUGUUAUGCAAGUAGAACAAUUCUGCCAGUACCUGAUUUGUUGGCUUGUAAAUUACUGGUAGGAGGAUUAUUCCUGCUCAUAGUACUGGAAUAUAGUACAAUUCCUCCCUUACUGGGGCUUCCCCAAACCUCCCAUCACACUGACACUUCAUGCUGAAGAAAAAUCAAGAGAAAGUAGACUUCUAAGCAUUUCCUGUUGUAAUGUUACAGUGUGACAGAUGAUGUAUUUGGGUUGCUGUAUGAGCAUAUCCUUUUGAAUCUCUGACUUCUGCAGAGCAGAGUAUUAUCAUUGCUGUUUUCCAGUGAAGUUAGCAGAAUGGUGAAUGGAAAUGAUUCUGAAACAAGAUUCUUUCUUCUGAUGGAUAUGAUCAGCAGUGGCUCUGCUUUAGCCAAAAUGGCCAAGUAAGGCUUUCUGCUGCUGUGGGUCUAUGAAAAGUGUGGAAUUUGACUAUGUUCAGAUGUCAGAACUAAACCCAUAAGAAUUGCUUACUCUCUUAUUUCAUUGAUACAUUAAAAAUAUACUUGAGGAAAAUUACUUUAAACAGAAUCAUAAAUUGUUGUUGGCAAUACUGAAUACUUAGGGCAUAAACCUCAUAAUAAACCUAUAAUGUUAAAUGUGAGAAUUUUCUCUAGAGAUUUUUAGUGGAAGUAGCUAUAAAACCACCAAAUUUUAGUUUUGUUUCUGUUUGUAAAGUGGACUUACUGUGCCAGUUGGUUUCCUUAGAACCCUGGCUCUACCAAAUCUCUUGAAAUGGGAGUAUUUACAUGCAUAAACUGGGAAACUUCCUCCAAAUAAGGGCUGUUCUGCUCUGUGUUGAACUUAAAUUUCAAACCAUUCGUUAAAUAACUGUAGUUACAAUGCACUGGCUUUCAUAGUACUAACUAAAUCUUCCCCUGCUUUUAGCCUUUACAAGAAGCUAUUUCCUAAAAUCACAGUAACUACAGUUGUGCUCUUAGCUCACAUAAUGUAGUAUCACCUGAAAACUUUGUGUCUUGCUGGGGAAAGGUAGUCUGGCCUGUAUUGUGAUUUACUUCUGUGGUAAAAAUCCCCUACAAAACCAGAGGAAAAAUUGUUUCAAAUAGCUCUUGCAGAUUUCUUGAUGAAAUAAGGAGUUUUGCAGAUCACCACAGACCUGCUGGAGAGGGCAGCAAAACUGAGGUGAGCUUCUGGAAUAAGGUACUUGAAAAAACAGUGUUUCAGUGCUCUGUUUUCUUACCAGUUCAAAUUGCUGUUUAAUUCUCUGGCUCUUCUCUUACUCUGAAUGCUUGUAAGUCUGUAAAGCUUGAUCAGUCAGCCAAGAGGAAUGCUGCAUUGAGGCAUAAUAUUUAAGAAUGUAACAGGGAGGCAGGAACCUGGCUUUAUUCUGAAUGCUUCAGACUUAGUAGAACAUCAUGUGUUUUAUCUUGUGGUAAAAUUGAAAUAUGAAGUAUGACUUUUAUACGCCAUGAUCAUUUGUCUGAUUUAAUUUAAUAGUAUGAAAUACUAUCGUCAGUGUGAUGAUGAUGCUUGUUACUACUUUUGCAAGAGGCUUUCAUGUCCUGUGCCCUGUUUUGGGCUUCUAAAUCAAGACACCCCAAACAAGUUUCAGCUGUUUGUUGUAUUAAGCACGUUCUCAUGAGUCACUGCUGAAAAUACUGAUCAGUGGAUAGCAGGAAGGAGAAUGCAUCAAAGGAGGAAUUCCAGAGGUUGGAGAAGUGGAGUUUCAGUUUGAGAUGUGUAAAUGAAAUGUGGGGCAGAGAGGAAUGGUGAACCUGAGCACUGUUUGUGGUUUGUGUCCUGUGCCAGCACAAGCCUGCUUCCUCUCUUUCCCCCUGUCUCAGCAGAAGCAAUUAAUUACAUUUGUAAUUCCAGAGAUUCCUCACCACUACAGCACUCAGAGCCCUGGCAGGGAGGAUUGUGGUUUCACAAUCCUGAGGAUUCAACAGAUAAACUGGACUCUUCUGAGAUCAGAGCCACGUGUUCAGGGAGGUUUGGGUUGGACAUUGGGAAAAGAUUCUUGUUGCAGAGAUCAGGAGACUGUGGGGCACUGCCC